rnacentral:rRNA from 1 species
AAAAAAGGCGGGGGCCUAAACAUGCAAGUCGAACGCUUCUUUCCUCCCGAGUGCUUGCACUCAACUUGCGAAAGAGGAGUGGCGUGACGGGUGAGUAACACGUGGAGUAACCUACCCAUCAGAGGGGGAUAACACUUGGACAACAGGUGCUAAUACCGCAUAACAGUUUAUGCCGCAUGGCAUAAGAGUGAAAGGCGCUUUCGGGUGUCGCUGAUGGAUGGACCCGCGGUGCAUUAGCUAGUUGGUGAGGUAACGGCUCACCAAGGCCACGAUGCAUAGCCGACCUGAGAGGGUGAUCGGCCACACUGGGACUGAGACACGGCCCAGACUCCUACGGGAGGCAGCAGUAGGGAAUCUUCGGCAAUGGACGAAAGUCUGACCGAGCAACGCCGCGUGAGUGAAGAAGGUUUUCGGAUCGUAAAACUCUGUUGUUAGAGAAGAACAAGGACGUUAGUAACUGAACGUCCCCUGACGGUAUCUAACCAGAAAGCCACGGCUAACUACGUGCCAGCAGCCGCGGUAAUACGUAGGUGGCAAGCGUUGUCCGGAUUUAUUGGGCGUAAAGCGAGCGCAGGCUGUUUCUUAAGUCUGAUGUGAAAGCCCCCGGCUCAACCGGGGAGGGUCAUUGGAAACUGGGAGACUUGAGUGCAUAAGACGAGAGUGGAAUUCCAUGUGUAGCGGUGAAAUGCUUAGAUAUAUGGAGGAACACCAGUGGCGAAAGCGGCUCUCUGGUCUGUAACUGACGCUGACGCUCGAAAGCGUGCGGAGCAAACAGGAUUAGAUACCCUGGUAGUCCACGCCGUAAACGAUGAGUGCUAAGUGUUGGAAGGGUUUCCGCCCUUCAGUGCUGCAGCAAACGCAUUAAGCACUCCUCCUGGGGAGUACGACCGCAAGUUGAAACUCAAACGAAUUGACGGGGGCCCGCACUAGCAGUGGAGCAUGUGGUUUAUUCGAGCUGCGCGAAUACCUUACUCGUCUUGACAUCCUUUGACACUCUAAAGAUAGAGGUGUCCCUUCGGGGACAAAUGGACGGGUGGGGGCUGGGUGUGUCCGCGCCUGUGACAGACGUGAGCUAGGCCCGAAGUGACGCACCCUGUUG